rnacentral:misc_RNA from 1 species
GCUCUUGCAAUAUCCAUUAAUCAAUGUGUUGUAGCUCAUAGCAUCAACUAUUCCAUUGGUUACAAUCAAAUCAAAUACAUUUCUAGCUUCAUCCAUUUGGCCACGCUGACAAUAUGCGCACAUCAAUGAAUUGUAAGUGACAACAUCGGGCUUUAUUCCUCUUUGAACCAUCAUAUUGAAAAUACCUUGAACCUCUAAAAAUAUUCCUCCUCUACAAAAAGUGUCAAUCAAUGUAUUGAAGGUAACAACAUCUGGUGAUAUGUUAUGGCCCACCAUUUUAUUUAACAAAGCCAAAGCGUGAUUCCAUUUGCCUAAAUAGCAAAGACCAUGAAUUAAGCAGUU